GAAGACAAAACAAUUAAAGCUAUGAAAAUAGGAAACCUAGGGUAAUAAUUCCUAGUCGAUUCAGAAACAGCAGCUGGACUCCAUUUCCAUCGUCUUUUCAUAUCCAAUUGUCCCAUCUGCUUCAGUUUGAUAGCCGUUUCAUUUCUUCCAUUAAGUGCUAUACGAUUCCCUUUUUCCUUCACAUGGUGAUUCUCAGUUUGGAAAUCUUCUCCAUCUACCCUCCGGGCUCAUCUGAAGGCAAUGCAGUGCCUCUCCUUCUAGGUGCGUUUCCUCUUCCCUUCUAAGAGCUUCUUUUGCAAUUCUAUGAGCCAAGCUAUUCUUGAUUCUGGUAAUAAAUUGAAAAUUGAUUUCUUGAAAAUACUCCCACUGUCUUUGAAUAUCACUGAUGAUUGCUCCUAUAACUGACUUAUCUUGUGCCUUUGUUUGACAUUUUUUUAUGAUUGUGCGUAAAUCCCCCUUUAUUGUAACUGAGUGUAAUCCCAUAGAGAUACCUAGCUUAACCGCAUGAAGUCCGGCAUAAGCUUCUGCUGCAAAAGAAGAUGAUACAUUUGAAUUUAAAACAGUCUUCGUAGUUAGGAGUACUCCCGUCGGAUCCCAAGCCACCAGACCCGCCAUCGAUUUGAAAUCUGGUCUGUUGAAUGCUGUAUCAAAAUGAAUUGUCACCCUGGGAUUUGUAUCUCUCUGAUUGGACUUCUAACUAUGUUCGAGGUAUUUUUUUCUCUCUAUCAGUCCAUCAAUCUCGGCCAAAUACCUUAGAACUUUCAUUGAUAACUCUCUUCCUAACUCUAUUUUCCUUUCAUGCAUGAGCUUGUUUCUCGACCCCUAGAAGAACCACAUUCCACAACAGAACACUCGGCAUUAUUUGUAAGUGCUCUUCUUGAAAAUCCAGGACAAAACCGAAAGACAUAAGAUACAUCCUCUUCUCUAAAUCUGUAACGAGGGCAUACAGUAUCGUCAGCUACUCGUUUAGAUCUCAGAUUGAUUAAAAUAGGCAUAUAGUUCCAGGAGGCUCUCCAAACUAUAAUUAUAAUCUUUGAGGGUAGUUGUAGAUUCCAUAGCUGUUUGUAGAAAUUUUUCAAAUCGGGCUGUAUUAAUAAAUUAUUAGGAUCUAAGCUAGCAUUUUGUAAUAGUUUGUAGGCGCUCUUGACUGAAAAUUCACUGGACAGCUCUCCCUUCCACACCUGAAAGUUGUCGCCUGGGUUUUCCGCCAGAGACGUUUGCAAAAUCCUUUGAGCAAUAUCUGCUGGAAAUGCGUAGAUUCCAAACCAAAGUAAUGCUAUGCUAGAUGAGAAAUCCUACAACUUAGGGUUGCGCUGCCACCACUCCACUUUCAACAAGAAACAAAGACCAAGAAAAAAGACGUGCUAGAAAGGGCAGAUUGGAGACGUGCCAAAGAUGGUAGACUUUAUUGUUGUUACCAGUUUACUACCUUGAAAGAUGAUGGAUUAAAAUUAAAAAAAUUUAUUGGAUGGGACGGGCCUAGAGAAGCAAGCCUGUCAAGUAGUUGGCCGGCAUCAGGUUUGACAUUUUCAUUUCAGAAAAAAAGAAGAUUGAAAUUAAAAAAAAAAGUGAUGGGAUUGGACGGUCCUAGAGAAGUGGGGCUUGUUAGGUUGUUGGCCAACACCAGGCUUGGGUUUUUAAAAAAAAAGAGAGAUUGAAAUUAAAAAAAAAGUAAAGGUGAUGGGAUUGGACGGGCUUAGAGAAGUGGGCUCGUUAGGUUGUUGGCUGACACUAGGCUGGGUAUUUAUAUAAAAAAAAGAAAUAUUGAAAAAAUAAGAACAAAAUGUGAUGGAAUUGAACGAGCCUAAAGAAGCGAGACCGUCAGGUUGUUGGCCAACAUUAGAGAAGUAAGCAUUAGGAGUCUUGCUGUGGGAAAACAGUGGCUGACGUGACCUGAUGGAGCAUGUUGCUUUUUCUUUCACUUUUACUCAAUUUUCCCUUUAUUUUCCCUCAAUCCCCUAACUCGUCCCCCACUAAUAUAAAUUCCUAAUUGCAAUCGUCGACCAUCGUAACUCUCACCGCCAACUACUGUCGAUCACCACCAGCCACCACCAACCACCAUUAGUCCCUAGAAUUUUUUUUCACAAUUUUUCUAUAGUACUAAAAAUGUAAGUUCAUACAACCUCUUUUAAAAAUUAAAGUUUUUUUUUCAUUA